CGGGGAAGGAGGGAAGUAUUAUUCUGUCUACACCAGCAAGAUAGCUGUUUGUUUCUUUCUUAAAUAAAUAUAGGCAGCCGGGGCCAGGACGGAGGGUACCUGGAAGUGCUCGGCCUCCUUCUGCCUUGUCCCUCAUCCCUCUACAAUCCUAAAAGGGCAAAGAGAUUCAAAGCACAAGAAGGAUUUGAUGCACCAUGGCUGGCUUUGAUGAUGGAGGGGCUCUGCCCACUGAUCAGAGAGACGUCUUUAAAAGCUGAGAGUGGUCCCUGCUGACAGUCAGCGAGGGCACGUGACUGGAGUCCUACAACCACAAGGAACUGAAUUCUGCCAGUCACCUCAAUGAGCUUUCAAUGUCUACUGAGAUUGAUUUUUUACCACUUGAAAAUGAUGGGUGAGUCUAGCAGAAAGGGAUCCACUUCUUGAAUUCAAAUAGACUAGACUGUGAUUUUCAAGUCCCUAAUGAAUUGUUCUAAAAUCGCUGAGUUUUGAGUUGCCAGGAAAACAUUGAAGACAGAGACCAAAGCCCUGAAGGCAGAGAGGAGCUGCAAACCAAGACCUGAAUAUUUGAAAAUACCAUUUAUUAACCUUCAAAUGCAAUUGUAGCUGCAGCACCAUCACUGCUGGCCUGUAAAACAUUUUAUAUUCUUAAGAGGGAGGCAUUCGUGAUACUAAUUCUUUUUACAGAUAGUUUCUGAUGUUAUCCCAAAAGCAAUGCACUUUAAAAAAUAACGAUCAGAAUCAAAGAAUUUAAACAAAAAGCAAAGAAUUUAAACAAAAAGCACUUUUCACCGCAUUAUUUAAUUAAAUCAUUUGUCAAAAUGAAAUUUGACCUUCUGCUUAUUGGCAAAAUCCUCAUUUAUAACAUUUACAAGAGAUUUUAACUCAAUAAACGAAGGACGUUAACAGUGCACUGCCCUGCAGUAACGCCCCCCACCCCCACAAACUGUAUCUGGGGUCAGCUGUUGCUGGGAAUAAAAAUAAUGGGCAGAUUCACUCCAGCUUUCAGUCUUUCAUUUGCAACCAAUCUCCAAGCCCCAGAGCCUGGGGGCCGUGCCUUUCC
rnacentral:lncRNA from 1 species